rnacentral:ncRNA from 1 species
AAAAAUGCCGAGAUUAGUCUAAGUAGAUUCUAAUUAUCAGAGAUCAUUCAAAUGCUGAAAGAAUGAGCAGAGUCGAAACACAGCUAAUAGCAGAUCAAUUGAAAGGCAGGUUUUUAUUAGAUUGAUCCGGAUAAAACAUCGUUAAUGUUUUAAGUUUAUUAAACUUACUGAGGCAAUUGUCGUGAGGCUGUUGUAAAUCAGAGGUGGAACAGCGAAAUGUCGCCCUCUCA